GGAGGGUGCAAGCAUUAAUCGGAUUUAUUGGGCGUACAGGGCGCGUAGGCGGAAAUGUAAGUCAGAUGUGAAAUCCCGGGGCUCAACUCCGGAACUGCAUUUGAAACUACAUUCCUUGAGGGUAGGCGGAGAAAACGGAAUUCCACAAGUAGCGGUGGAAUGCGUAGAUAUGUGGAAGAACACCUGUGGCGAAAGCGGUUUUCUAGCUUACUCCUGACGCUAAGGCGCGAAAGCUAGGGGAGCAAACAGGAUUAGAUACCCUGGUAGUCCUAGCCGUAAACUAUGUAUACUUGGUGUAUUUGGAAUCAACCCCAAAUGUGCCGUAGCUAACGCGUUAAGUAUACCGCCUGGGGAGUACAGUCGCAAGGCUG
rnacentral:rRNA from 1 species